rnacentral:rRNA from 1 species
AGGACGAACGCUGGCGGCGUGCCUAAUACAUGCAAGUCUAAGGGGGUUGGUUCCUUCGGGGACCAAUUCACUGGCGCACGGGUGAGUAACGCGUAAAUAAUCUGCCUCUGGGUCUGGCAUAACUUCGGGAAACCGGGCUAAUUCCAGAUGAUACCGCAAGGUCAAAGCCUUGGCGCCCAGAGAUGAGUUUGCGUCUGAUUAGCUAGUUGGCGGGGUAAUGGCCCACCAAGGCGACGAUCAGUAGCCGGUCUGAGAGGAUGAUCGGCCACAUUGGGACUGAGACACGGCCCAGACUCCUACGGGAGGCAGCAGUAAGGAAUAUGCGCAAUGGACGAAAGUCUAGACGCAGCAACGCCGCGUGCAGGAUG